rnacentral:rRNA from 1 species
UACGUAGGAUGCAAGCGUUGUCCGGAAUUAUUGGGCGUAAAGGGCGCGUAGGUGGCCUGCUAAGCGUGCGGUGAAAGCUCGGGGCUCAACCCCGAGUCGGCCGUGCGAACUGGUGGGCUUGAGCACUGUAGAGGCAGGCGGAAUUCCGGGUGUAGCGGUGGAAUGCGUAGAGAUCCGGAAGAACACCGGUGGCGAAGGCGGCCUGCUGGGCAGUUGCUGACACUGAGGCGCGACAGCGUGGGGAGCAAACAGG